rnacentral:rRNA from 1 species
GGGAUUCAUUUCCUUAGUAACGUAGCUAACGCGUGAAGUUGACCGCCUGGGGAGUACGGUCGCAAGAUUAAAACUCAAAGGAAUUGACGGGGACCCGCACAAGCGGUGGAUGAUGUGGAUUAAUUCGAUGCAACGCGAAAAACCUUACCUACCCUUGACAUGGUCGGAAUCCUGCUGAGAGGCGGGAGUGCUCGGAAGAGAACCGGCGCACAG